CCGGCUCGCGGGGUGAGGUAGUAGAUUGUAUGGUUUUAGGGUCACACCCUCGGUUGGGAGAUAACUAUGCAAUCUACUGUCUUUCCCGCGGGUGCG
rnacentral:pre_miRNA from 1 species